CCUACGGGAGGCAGCAGUGGGGAAUUUUGGACAAUGGGGGCAACCCUGAUCCAGCCAUUCCGCGUGAGUGAAGAAGGCCUUCGGGUUGUAAAGCUCUUUUGUCCGGAGCGAAACGGGCGCGGCUAAUACCUGCGUCCACUGACGGUACCGGAAGAAUAAGCACCGGCUAACUACGUGCCAGCAGCCGCGGUAAUACGUAGGGUGCGAGCGUUAAUCGGAAUUACUGGGCGUAAAGCGUGCGCAGGCGGUUUUGUAAGCCAGACGUGAAAUCCCCGGGCUUAACCUGGGAAUGGCGUUUGGGACUGCAUGACUUGAGUACGGUAGAGGGGGAUGGAAUUCCGCGUGUAGCAGUGAAAUGCGUAGAUAUGCGGAGGAACACCGAUGGCGAAGGCAAUCCCCUGGACCUGUACUGACGUUCAUGCACGAAAGCGUGGGGAGCAAACAGGAUUAGAUACCCUGGUAGUCCACGCCCUAAACGAUGUCAACUGGUUGUUGGGAAUUCAUUUUCUCAGUAACGAAGCUAACGCGUGAAGUUGACCGCCUGGGGAGUACGGCCGCAAGGUUAAAACUCAAAGGAAU
rnacentral:rRNA from 1 species